rnacentral:lncRNA from 1 species
AUCUACUACGUGCGUUUAUCCCUCAUCUAUCUCCUUAUACUGUUGUCUCUUUUGCGAGAGAAGGGAGAUAAGAAGAGGAGAAAAAGGCCAACUGGUAUGCAAGUUUGAAUUCUGACCAAGCUCUCAUUUAAUGAACAAGUUGGAUGGCCCCUUCAACUUUCAACUACAACCGUUGGCAAAGUUGGUGUCAGCAUUUACUUCUCGCCAACCACCUGUUUCCCUAACAAUUUUGGCUUCUUACUUCUACCUGUACAGAUCAAGUAAAAAGCCAACUCCUGCAAAUCCUACUUAUAUAUAACCCUCUGGCCAUAAACCCAUCUUAAGUAGUAGUUUGUUGUAGUACAAUAUCUGGAAGUCCUGAACCAUGGGUAGUGAAGGAGAUCUCCUUUCC